CUCUAUAGAGUAGUGGGAGAACUGAGAUCCCCUGAGGAGGCCUCUUAAGCAUAGAUCAAACUCCUUGCAGUGACACUGGGUUCCAGGCUUGUUCCCCUGUGCAGUCCUCACUGUGGUCUAUGUAUACUCUAUGCAUUCUCCCCAUGCAGGUUCACUUGUAUUCUUCUACCUACAGAGGCUGGUAGAGAAACAUCAUCCCCUGGAACUGACCUAAGCAAGAAGCAGGCCAAGAAGGAAAAGGAGAGGCUGAUUAAAGAGCUGCAGCUCAUUACCGAGAAGAGAAAUGACCUCAGAGAUCGCCUGAGGUUUCUGACAGAGAGAUCCAAGAACAACAGGCCCUACUUCAGGCCAAAUCCAUUAUAUGAAACACUGGAGAGAAAGGAGAAGGAGGUCAUGUCAAUUCUGCACAACAUAGAGAUGGAGAACACUGAGGUCCAUGACAACAUCCAGGAGCUGAAGAAGAAGAUUACCUUCUCUAGUAUCCUGCUCAGCCAGCUCCUGACGCAGAACACAUGUAUGAAGAACUUUGUCACAUCUAUGCAGGAGAGCAAGGUGGUACAGACUGAUUGUGCACUGAUACAGAAAUAUUUGAUUGAAUUGAACAAGAACGAUAAAUAUUAACAGGAGAAGACCAGCAACUGCCAGACCCCAACAAUAUCUGGUCUCAGAAAGUGCAAGAGA
rnacentral:sRNA from 1 species